UCGUCACACUAUCAUUAACUGAAUCCAUAGGUUAAUGAGGCGAACCGGGGGAACUGAAACAUCUAAGUACCCCGAGGAAAAGAAAUCAACCGAGAUUCCCCCAGUAGCGGCGAGCGAACGGGGAGGAGCCCAGAGCCUGAAUCAGCAUGUGUGUUAGUGGAAGCGUCUGGAAAGGCGCGCGAUACAGGGUGACAGCCCCGUACACAAAAGCGCAUGUGCUGUGAGCUCGAUGAGUAGGGCGGGACACGUGGUAUCCUGUCUGAAUAUGGGGGGACCAUCCUCCAAGGCUAAAUACUCCUGACUGACCGAUAGUGAACCAGUACCGUGAGGGAAAGGCGAAAAGAACCCCGGCGAGGGGAGUGAAAAAGAACCUGAAACCGUGUACGUACAAGCAGUGGGAGCACCCUUUGGGGUGUGACUGCGUACCUUUUGUAUAAUGGGUCAGCGACUUAUAUUCUGUAGCAAGGUUAACCGAAUAGGGGAGCCGGAGGGAAACCGAGUCUUAACCGGGCGUUAAGUUGCAGGGUAUAGACCCGAAACCCGGUGAUCUAGCCAUGGGCAGGUUGAAGGUUGGGUAACACUAACUGGAGGACCGAACCGACUAAUGUUGAAAAAUUAGCGGAUGACCUGUGGCUGGGGGUGAAAGGCCAAUCAAACCGGGAGAUAGCUGGUUCUCCCCGAAAGCUAUUUAGGUAGCGCCUCGUGAAUUCAUCUCCGGGGGUAGAGCACUGUUUCGGCUAGGGGGCCAUCCCGGCUUACCAACCCGAUGCAAACUGCGAAUACCGGAGAAUGUUAUCACGGGAGACACACGGCGGGUGCUAACGUCCGUCGUGAAGAGGGAAACAACCCAGACCGCCAGCUAAGGUCCCAAAGUCAUAGUUAAGUGGGAAACGAUGUGGGAAGGCCCAGACAGCCAGGAUGUUGGCUUAGAAGCAGCCAUCAUUUAAAGAAAGCGUAAUAGCUCACUGGUCGAGUCGGCCUGCGCGGAAGAUGUAACGGGGCUAAACUAUGCACCGAAGCUGCGGCAGCGA
rnacentral:rRNA from 1 species